rnacentral:rRNA from 1 species
GAUGAACGCUAGCUACAGGCUUAACACAUGCAAGUCGCGGGGCAGCAUGGGGGUUGCUUGCAAUCCCCGAUGGCGACCGGCGCACGGGUGAGUAACGCGUAUCCAACCUGCCCUUCACCACGGGAUAACCCGGCGAAAGUCGGACUAAUACCGUAUGUUGUCCAUUGACGGCAUCCGAUUUGGACGAAAGGUUUGGCGGGGAAGGAUGGGGAUGCGUCCGAUUAGCUGGACGGCGGGGUGACGGCCCACCGUGGCGACGAUCGGUAGGGGUUCGGAGAGGAAGGUCCCCCACACUGGAACUGAGACACGGUCCAGACUCCUACGGGAGGCAGCAGUGAGGAAUAUUGGUCAAUGGGCGUAAGCCUGAACCAGCCAAGUAGCGUGCAGGAUGACGGCCCUAUGGGUUGUAAACUGCUUUUAUGCGGGGAUAAAGUGGCCCACGUGUGGGUUUUUGCAGGUACCGCAUGAAUAAGGACCGGCUAAUUCCGUG